CUGGGAAUCAAUGUGUGAGGUGGUGCUAUGUAGCAGGAACCCCUCUUGCUUUGCAAAUAGUUUUUUGUUUGUUUUCCUUUUUGCCCAAUAGAGCCCUGCUCUACUGACCCUUCAAUGUGCCCGUGUGCCUAAAUAUUCCUGGUCGUGUGAAAAGAACCCAGGUAUUAGCUGAACUAAGGAGCACAAUUCUGCAACAUUUUGGCACCCAAACACGGGGCUUGAGAAAUGAAUGCAAUUGGAGAAACUGGUUGUUUUACCAGGCGUUGAUUGGAAAUGUGUGCUUCCCUUUAAGCAGUCAAGCUCAACUUGCAGAACUGAUGGGAACCCCUUGGGAAAACUGGCCUCAAAUGUUUGUCUACACAGUCCACAUACAGGGUUCUUAACCUGCGUUUUUACCUACAUUUUAGACUGACCCUGCUUGUGCCUGUGAACCAACCAACAAUCUCUGGCUGCAGCUCAGAAAGGACAAAAGAGAAUGGAUGAGGGAAACUUCCCAGGGCUUGUCUGGGUAUGCCCACAGUGGACUGGAGCCCAAAAUGCACACUGGAGGAAGUGGAUGGAGCCACGUGGAUGUCAUGCCUUAUGCAGGGGAGGAGCCUGCUCUCUUCAGCUCCUGUGGUAAUGUGGGAAUCGAUCUGUGAGGAAACACUUUCUGAAAAUGUCAGAACUCUUGAAAACAUGGAUGAGGAAAAGCAUAAGUACUGCUUUAUGCUUUUCUUAUGAAUUUUAAAAGAUGUAAUUUAAAGAUUGAAACUCCCACAACUUUGGCAGACCAACUCCUCAGAAAACAUUAUUCUUUGACAUCAAUAUGUUUUGCACAAAAUUGAAUGGCAAGUGAAAGGCAUCAAAUGCAUAUUUAACUAUCCGGCUAUUUUGGAGAUUGAAAAAAGAAGACCUGAUUUAUCAUGUGCAAUAUCUCACACAUCUGUCAUUUCUAUUCUACCGCAAUUCGAUGGAGUCUUGUUCUGUGGUCCAGGCUAGAGGGCAGUGGCAUGAUCUCGGCUCACUACAAGCUCUGCCUCCCGGGUUCACGCCAUUCUCCUGCCUCAGCCUCCUGAGUAGCUGGGACUACAGGCGCCCGCCACCACGCCUGGCUAAUUUUUUGUAUAUUUACUAGAGAUGGCUAGUGUUAGCCAAGAUGGUCUCGAUCUCCUGACCUCGUGAUCUGCCCACCUCAGCCUGCCAAAGUGCUGGGAUUACUGGCGUGAGCCACCGUGCCUGGCCAGCAUCCUCUAAUUAUUAUUCAUAGUUUGUGAAUUUAGGCCUACGUGAAUAAUAAUAUAAUAUUUACUAUGAUGUUACUAUCUACCAACCUUAUUUUUCUUUUCUAUAAAAUAGGAGCCAAAAUAAUAUUUAUGUCAUACCUUAUGAAGUUAAAAUAAAAUAUAACGAAUGAGGGGCUUAA
rnacentral:lncRNA from 1 species